UUGCAACCUGCAGUAUAAUAAUGGGAAUUCCGUUGAACUUAAAGAUGACACCAUUGUCCAUCCAGGUGGGGAUGCCGGAGAAUCAAUUCAUCAGUUGAGCAGUGAGUUUGUGGAAUAUUCAAAUGAAUUUUAUAACAACCCCACCUACCAACAUGAUUUUGGUUCAUGGUCCACCUUCUAUCCUGACUCUCAAAAGGUGCAUCACUGCCAAAUGAAUUCUUUUGAGAGCCAAUUUUAUCCCUUUCCUGUGGAAAAUCGGUUUCAGUUUGCUCCAUACAAUAUGCUCACACCAGCUCACCCAUAUGAUUUCCAGCCUCAAGAAUUUCAGUAUUUUGUGGUAAUAGACUUUGAG
rnacentral:lncRNA from 1 species